UACAGAGGGUGCGAGCGUUAAUCGGAAUUACUGGGCGUAAAGCGCGCGUAGGCGGUUUUGUAAGUCGGGUGUGAAAUCCCCAAGCUUAACUUGGGAACUGCAUUCGAGACUGCAUAGCUAGAGUAUGGGAGAGGGAAGUGGAAUUUCAGGUGUAGCGGUGAAAUGCGUAGAUAUCAGGAGGAACACCGAUGGCGAAGGCAGGUCACUGGGCCGCAACUGACGCUGAGGAGCGAAAGCAUGGGGAGCGAACAGG
rnacentral:rRNA from 1 species